rnacentral:tRNA from 1 species
GGCCGGUUAGCUCAGUUGGUUAGAGCGUCGUGCUAAUAACGCGAAUGUCGUGGGUUCGAUCCCCACAUUGGCCA